GCUUAGCCUUAAACCUAGAUGUUGAACUUACAAGCAGCAUCCGCCAGGGUACUACGAGCGCUAGCUUAAAACCCAAAGGACUUGACGGUGUCUCAGACCCACCUAGAGGAGCCUGUUCUAGAACCGAUAACCCCCGUUAAACCUCACCACCCCUUGUUUAACCAGCCUAUAUACCGCCGUCGCAAGCUUACCCUGUGAAGGUCUCAUAGUAAGCAGGAUGGGUAAAUCCCAAAACGUCAGGUCGAGGUGUAGCUUACGAGGUGGGAAGAAAUGGGCUACAUUUUCUGUAUCAGAAUAACACGAACAGUAUUAUGAAAUUAGUACUUGAAGGUGGAUUUAGCCAGUAAAAAAAAAAUAGAGAGUCUUUUUGAACCAGGCUCUGAGACGCGU
rnacentral:rRNA from 1 species